AUAACUCACUUCACAAAAGGAUAAAAAUCAUUCAAUACAUAAGCACAACAAGAUAUUUAAUCCACACUUUAAACAAGAAUAUUUUCAUAAACAAGAUUCAAGUGUUGGAUAAAAUACUACACACUUAGAUAUACAAUACAAAGCAAGGAAAUGAAGAAAGCAACAUAAAUGGGCAAGAAAUUCUCAACCAAAAGCUUCAUAUCUUCAAGACCAAAGUGUGUGUGCAAAGCCCUAGCUUCCAAAACUUAUUCUCUCUAGCCCUAAGAAUUGAAAAUAAGCCAAAGAUCUGUUAUAAAUGAGCUGGUUUGGGUAUUAAAGGGGUUGGGGUCAAAAAAUGUGAAAUUCCAGAACUGCCCAGUUUUCACGCCCAAUUUCUUCAUCGCGUUCGCGGUCACGCCUUCGUAUUCGCGAAGGGUUGCUUUCCUCAGUCAUCGCGUUCGCGUUCACACCUUCGCAUUCGUGAAGGAUCAUGUUCUGCUUCAUCGCGUUCGCGUUGUGUACUUCGCGUUCGCGAAGGUCUAGCUGGCUACUUCUUCACGUUCGCGUAGUACCUUUGUGUUCACGUAGUACCUUUGUGUUCGCGAAGAGUAAACCACUGGGCAGUUUCUCAUUGUCCAUUUUAGCUCUUUUUGACUUGUUUUUACUUGGUUUCUUCACCAUUACCUCUAAAUCACAUACAACCUGUAAAAUAGAAGUAAAUGACAUCAAAUACACGAUUUUAUCGCUCAAACAUAGCAAAAGUAUAGGUUUAAAGAUAAGAUAAGUUGGUAAAAUACCAACUUAUCAACAAUUCAAACUUAAUUCUACUCCGGACCUCCAAAUCACAAUUCAGACGCGCUCGUACAUCCAAAAUUACCUAACGGAGCUAACAGAAUCAUCAAAAUUCAAAUCCGAGGUCGUUUACACAUAAGUCAAAAUCCGGUUAACUUUUCCAACUUAAGCUUCCAAAUAAGAGACUAAGUGUCUCACUUCAUUCUGAAAUCACUCCGGACCCGAACCAACUAACCCGGUAAGUCAUAAUACAGUUGUAUAACACAAAAGAAGAAGAAAAAUAGAGAAAUUGGAUCACAACUCUUGAAAUGACUGGACGGAUCGUUAAAGAUAUAAAACACAUCCAAGGGUAGUUGUAUGAAUAUUUGUCUAGCGUCUCUUCCCCUUUUUCCGAUGUCUCCGUCUUUCUUCUCUUUACUUCUCUUUUGUUAUCCACUUCCCCAAAACUUAAUCCAAAUCAAAAUUAAGCAGUUGGUUAUCGCUUUUUAAGUAUUAAAACCGAAAAAAUGCACCUCAUCCUGAAACCACUUAUAGUAUCGAAUUAGGCAUGAAUUUUAUGUUAGCUUUAACUAACAACUUAAUCAAUAUAUGUAGUUUGUUAUAUGUCAGUUAAUAAGCCAAGUAGAGCCAUAAGAUUUAUCAAGAUGAAACAGAAAGCUUAGCUAAAAGAACCAAGUCGAACUUGUUAGCAGAGUAGCACACAGCAACGAACAUAACAUUUCAGCAAAAGCAAGUCUCACCUCUCAGCAGAACUCGUAAUGUUAUGUUUCAGCAACGCCAACACGGAGAACAUAAGGGGGGGGGGGGGGAAUGAAUCACCCAGCAGCUGCAAAAAGAAAAUCGACCUAGCAAAACAGAGUAAGGAAGAGGAUGAGCUGACAAACGGUGAGUCCAACUGCGCUGGCAGCCACGUUUUGCAAGACCGACACUCGUCACUCUUUGAAAAUACAUAUCCAGCUAGCAAUGACUCUAACCCUAUAAGAAUGACCUCAACCCAAAUUACAUAGCUUUAAUUCCAAACCUAAAAGGAAAAACAAAGACGGAACGAUAGAGAUCUACCAACACAGAAGCACACCACGUGCUUGACAAAGCAAAGUACACCUCAACACCUGAUAGACGCGGCAAACAUCUUAUUACAAAUCGUCAUCUUCUCCAGUCUUGUUUUGGUGUGAAGAGUUAUACUGGAAGCAACUUGGGCUUGGGUUCAAUUCGACCAGAACUCUCGACUACCAAAAACCCAGGAACAAAAUCAAUAGCCCACAAUACCAAACUUAGGGAGAAAACGAAGGGGAAAAAGAGAUCUAUACCUUGAAGAAUCUAAAGAGAGGCAGAGAGGGGAGAGAGAGAGAGCACGGGGGAGAUGUAAACUGAAGACGGUGCUAGCGCAUACGUGUUGAACAAAAGGGAUGUACAUAGAAUAGUUUUCAACCACUUAGAGGGCAGAUUUCCAAAAAUAACCCCGAAGCAGAGAUGGAAAAUUCCAAAAAUAAAACCGAAGCAAGACGACAAAGAGCACCUCAACUCCCGCUUCUAAAUAAGCAGAAAAUUUGAGACUUUGCUUGAUGCUCCAUAAUUUUGUAGUGAGACUUGAUGUAGACUUCAUCUUACCUGCAUAUCCCAAUAUCCAUUUUUCUUGGUCAUCCCUAAAGAUCCCAUCAAAAGCAGCAUCUCCAAUUAUAAGUGUGCAUCUUGACACUGCCAUCAUUAUUAAGCUUCAUCUUCCUACAGAAGGAGGUGACCAAGCAAUUAGUUUAACUAAUUUAGACACAGAAUUUCGUAAAAAAUACUUCAUCAAUUUUCUUAGCGUAAUCUCUAAUUUGCUUGCAUAUAUGGGUUCUUAUUUUCAAUUAAAUUUCUAUUGCGCUCUUUCCAAAUUUACCACAUAAUUAAAAACACAUGUAGCGUUACAGGAGAGUUGCCAAUCAUAAUGUAUUAUAUCAUCAAGCCAUUCAAGUAAAAUAAUGUCCUAUAUUUGAUAUUGGACAACUUAUAAAUAUAUGUGCAGAGUCUUCCACAUCUCCAUCACUUAGGAGAUUCAAUUAUUUGUAUGGUAAAUCUAAGCUCAUUUGACACAAGUCUUUUAUGUCGCACGAGCCAAAUAAUUUUUCUGAAAUACUAAAUUUCUAAUAUUAGUCCAUCUCCUAUCAUUUGGACUAAUGUCAUUAUUACCAAUCAUCUCAUGCGGUGAUUUUGUACUAAAUUUUUCAUUACCUGUUCC
rnacentral:lncRNA from 1 species